GUAACCUUGACUUUGCGAUAUGGUCGAUAAUCACCGGAGUCAAAUUUAUAACUAUUACAAUUAAAAGGUUCAAACAGAUGAGAUAGUGAAAUAUCUCCAGAGAUUAUUUUUCAACCAUUAACCUUAAAAAAUCGAAUGUUUGAUUCUGUAUAAAAACAAUGACAACAGAGAUAUGGAGAAAGAGGAGGAUCUUUCAAGAUUGAUGCUUAGAAAAUGGAAAAACAAGUCUCUGGAAUAGUAUUAUUGUUUUCAUACAGAUUAGGUACAGACAGUACAAAUUGUACCUACUAUAUCCCCCAAUUCUGGACAAAAAUUCUCAAAACCUGACAACGCUGGCGUGUUCGCUUUUCGCAUUCAAGGUGGUAGUAAACUAGUGGGCAAAGAUUAUAGAGUUAACCCACACCCGUCUUUAAGGAGGACUAUAGACUGCUGUGGUUAAACUAUCUUUGCUAGUGGGUACUCUGCAUAUACAACCCAGUGGGUGCUAGUGGAUAGUGAAGUAAUGAGGAGGAGAACGAAAAUUCAAUGGAAAAUCCGCUAGAGUACAGAGUACUCGAUUAUUUGAAACACUAGAUUAUUCCCAAAACUACACUACAGAGCACAGUAUCCAACUCCUUCAUAUUCCCUUGAACAAACUGACAUUAUUUAUCCCUAAGAUGUAGGCAGGAAGUUGAUUGAACAGUUUCGGUGCAAGAUAAUUACAUUGUCGCUGGCCUAUAGUCUUCCCACAUCUAGGUACACUCAAGGAGCCUAAUCUCGUUCUGGUGUUGUGACAGUGUACAAUGGGCUUAAAAGCAAUUUUGGAUUUCAAGCAUAUUCA